rnacentral:rRNA from 1 species
AUGACUUCAAAGAAAAUGUACUUUGUAGAUGUUCUAUAUUUCUCGGUUGCGAAGAAGCAGAAAAUGAAGAAACAUCUGAAUGAGAAGAAAAAGAAGUGCAAGGCUGGUAAGGUCGAGACUCAUCUUGAAUUCCCUGGACGUGAAAAGGUUAAAUUUGGUGAAAUUGUCGAAGCUCCACCAAAGUUAUCAUUCCCAAAGAUCACUUUUCAGCCAUUUAGAAAUUAG